AUAAAGCAUUUUCAUAAAGAAUUCGCAUUUCAGAUUAUAUGAUUAUAUAAUGAAGGAAAUAAAAAACUUUGUCAUAUGUCUGUUUGACACGGGUUUACAACUUGUACUCAAAUCGUGCCUAAUUCUUUAGAAAAUGUAAUUUUUCCAUCAUACAAAACAAAGUCUCGAAUAAUGAAAGCUGUAAGAAACAAGGAAAUUCCACAAGAUAAUUCACUAUGGGACAUCUAUCAAGUUCUGCGCAUCAUGAGAUCUGAUGAUGAUUUCGAUAAAGCAUGGAAAAAAUUGCUGAAGGCGCGUUACAUAUCUGACAUCUCAUCUGAAGAAUCAGAUAUAGAAAAAGCAAAGAAAAGAGAACGUGUUAAAAAAUUGCCAGAUGCUAAUUUUACAUCGUCUGAUGGAGGAAACGAAAUUCCAUUGUUAUCUAAAUGGAACACAUGUACAGUUGUCCAAAAACAAAUUCCAUGAAUACACAAUUAGAGGAGUCCGACAAAGAAAAUAUGGAAUAUCAAACUAUUGAGAUCGCUGAUAUUGACAUGGAUAUGAAAUUAAUAUCUGAUAAUGAUAAUGCUGAUGAAAGUAAUGUUAUUAUACAAAAAGUGAAAUAGAACACAAUAGUCAAUUUAACGAAGAAAUGUACACUAGUGAGAGAUUUA